rnacentral:tRNA from 1 species
GGAAGGUUGGCCGAGUGGUUUAAGGCUCUCGUCUUGAAAACGAGCGUGGGUGAUGAGCCCACCGGGGGUUCGAAUCCCUCACCUUCCGCCA